UCAUUCUCAUGUUGUGUUCUCCAACUAACCACUCUGAUCAUUCUCAUGUUGUGUUCUCCAACUAACCAAUCUGAUCAUUCUCAUGUUGUGUUCUCCAACUAACCACUCUGAUCAUUCUCAUGUUGUGUUCUCCAACUAACCACUCUGAUCAUUCUCAUGUUGUGUUCUCCAACUAACCACUCUGAUCAUUCUCAUGUUGUGUUCUCCAACUAACCACUCUGAUCAUUCUCAGGUUGUGUUCUCCAACUAACCAAUCUGAUCAUUCUCAUGUUGUGUUCUCCAACUAACCAAUCUGAUCAUUCUCAUGUUGUGUUCUCCAACUAACCACUCUGAUCAUUCUCAUGUUGUGUUCUCCAACUAACCACUCUGAUCAUUCUCAUGUUGUGUUCUCCAACUAACCACUCUGAUCAUUCUCAUGUUGUGUUCUCCAACUAACCACUCUGAUCAUUCUCAUGUUGUGUUCUCCAACUAACCAAUCUGAUCGCUCUCAUGCCUUCGUAUGACAGUACAAUGUUGAGUGUGUUUUUAUCAGCUCAGUAAAGUGUCUCAACCUAAUGCCUCGCUUAUCUUCUGUGGGCGUUGUCAUUCUGCUCUCUCUCUGCGUCUCAGGUUAGUCUCGCAACAAUCUAACAAACGGUCCCAAUCACAAUGGAGAAUAACAGCUGUAACCAUGGAAAUCCCCAUCCUGCUGAGUCAUGACCUCCAUUACAUGACUUUAUGAUGCUGUACUUCCACAAAAUGGCUGCCGGCGCGGCCUCACGUAGCAGGCCUGUUGUUAUCAGGCCACACUAGAGAGGACUGACAUGCAACACUUUAUAAACACCAAGUGCCAUGGUACAGUUGUAGGGUGGAGUUCACUUCAUGGGCUAGCAAUAGGAGUUAGCUUCAUGGGCUAGCAUUAGGAGUUAGCUUCAUGGGCUAGCAUUAGGUGUUAGCUUCAUGGGCUAGCAAUAGGAGUUAGCUUCAUGGGCUAGCAAUAGGAGUUAGCUUCAUGGGCUAGCAAUAGGAGUUAGCUUCAUGGGCUAGCAUUAGGAGUUAGCUUCAUGGGCUAGCAAUAGGAGUCAGCUUCAUGGGCUAGCAUUAGGAGUUAGCUUCAUGGGCUAGCAAUAGGAGUUAGCUUCAUGGGCUAGCAUUAGGAGUUCACUUCAUGGGCUAGCAUUAGGAGUUAGCUUUAUGGGCUAGCAUUAGGAGUUAGCUUUAUGGGCUAGCAAUAGGAGUUAGCUUCAUGGGCUAGCACUAGGAGUUAGCUUCGUGGGCUAGCAUUAGGAGUUAGCUUUAUGGGCUAGCAAUAGGAGUUAGCUUCAUGGGCUAGCACUAGGAGUUAGCUUCAUGGGCUAGCAUUAGGAGUUAGCUUCAUGGGCUAGCAUUAGGAGUUAGCUUUAUGGGCUAGCACUAGGAGUUAGCUUCAUGGGCUAGCACUAGGAGUUAGCUUCAUGGGCUAGCAUUAGGAGUUAGCUUCAUGGGCUAGCACUAGGAGUUAGCUUCAUGGGCUAGCAAUAGGAGUUAGCUUCAUGGGCUAGCAAUAGGAGUUAGCUUCAUGGGCUAGCAAUAGGAGUUAGCUUCAUGGGCUAGCAAUAGGAGUUAGCUUCAUGGGCUAGCAUUAGGAGUUAGCUUCAUGGGCUAGCAUUAGGAGUUCACUUCAUGGGCUAGCAUUAUGAGUUAGCUUCAUGGGCUAGCAUUAGGAGUUAGCUUUAUGGGCUAGCAAUAGGAGUUAGCUUCAUGGGCUAGCACUAGGAGUUAGCUUCAUGGGCUAGCAUUAGGAGUUAGCUUCAUGGGCUAGCAUUAGGAGUUAGCUUUAUGGGCUAGCACUAGGAGUUAGCUUCAUGGGCUAGCACUAGGAGUUAGCUUCAUGGGCUAGCAUUAGGAGUUAGCUUUAUGGGCUAGCAUUAGGAGUUAGAUUUAUGGGCUAGCACUAGGAGUUAGCUUGAUGGGCUAGCACUAGGAGUUCACAUUAUGGGCUAGGAUUAUGAGUUAACUUCAUGGGCUAGCACUAUGAGUUAGCUUUAUAGGGUAGCACUAGGAGUUAGCUUAAUGGGCUUGCACUAGGAGUUAGCUUAAUGGGCUAGGAUUGUGAGUUAACUUCAUGGGCUAGGAUUAUAAGGUAGCUUCAUGGGCUAGAACUAGGAGUUAGCUUUUAUGGGUGAGGAUUAUGAGUUUGCACUACGGGUUAACAUUAUAUGCAUUAUAGCAUUAUAUGCUAGCAUUACAUGUGUAAUGAGUUAGCGUUCUGGGGUAGCACCAUGAACUAGCUCUAGGUAAUGAGUUAGCGUUCUGAGAUAGCACCAUGAACUAGCUCUAGGUAAUGAGCUAGCGUUCUGAGAUAGCACCAUGAACUAGCUCUAGGUAAUGAGUUAGCGUUCUGAGGUAGCACCAUGAACUAGCUCUAGGUAAUGAGUUAGCGUUCUGAGAUAGCACCAUGAACUAGCUCUAGGUAAUGAGCUAGCGUUCUGGGGUAGCACCAUGAACUAGCUCUAGGUAAUGAGUUAGCGUUCUGAGAUAGCACCAUGAACUAGCUCUAGGUAAUGAGUUAGCGAUCUGAGAUAGCACCAUGAACUAGCUCUAGGUAAUGAGUUAGCGUUCUGGGGUAGCACCAUGAACU